rnacentral:rRNA from 1 species
AGGACAAACGCUGGCGGCGUGUAUUAGGCAUGCAAGUCGCACGGACACUUCGGUGUCAGUGGCGGACGGGUGAGUAACACGUGGGUAACCUGCCCUACAGUGGGGAAUAACUCGCCGAAAGGCGAGCUAAUACCGCAUUCGACUUCCGGUGAGAAUCCGGAUAGUGAAAGCAGUAAUGCGCUGAAGGAGGGGCCCGCGGCCGAUUAGCUUGUUGGUGGGUAAUAGCCUACCAAGGCGACGAUCGGUAGCUGGUCUGAGAGGAUGGUCAGCCACACGGGGACUGAGAUACGGCCCCGACUCCUACGGGAGGUAGCAGCUAAGAAUCUUGCGCAAUGGGCGAAAGCCUGACGCAGCAACGCCGCGUGGGGGACGAAGGCCUUCGGUCGUAACCCUUUGCGAGGGAAGAAGUUCUGACGUACCUCGCGAAUAAGCCACGGCUAACGUACGUGCCAGCAGCCGC